rnacentral:tRNA from 1 species
GCAGAUAUAGUUUAACAAAAAUGUUGGAUUGUGAUUCCAAAAAUAGGGGUUCAAGCCCCCUUAUCCGCC